AACGAACGCUGGCGGCGUGUUUAAGACAUGCAAGUUGAACGGAUCAAAGUUGUAGCAAUACCGCUUUGGUCAGUGGCGCACGGGUGCGUAACACGUGAGUUACACGCCCUGCAGUGGGGAAUAGCCCGCCGAAAGGCGGAUUAAUACCCCAUGGUCCCGCAAGGGUAAAGGUGGCGCAAGCUGCCGCUGCAGGAUUGGCUCGCGGCCUAUCAGCUUGUUGGCGAGGUAACGGCUCACCAAGGCAACGACGGGUACCUGGUCUGAGAGGAUGAUCAGGCACACUGGAACUGAGACACGGUCCAGACACCUACGGGUGGCAGCAGUCGAGAAUAAUUCACAAUGGGGGAAACCCUGGAUGGUGCAACGCCGCGUGGAGGAUGAAGGUCUUCGGAUUGUAAACUCCUGUCAUCCGGGAGUAAGACCUGACGGUGAAUAGCCGGCAGGGUUGAUAGUACCGGAAGAGGAAGGGACGGCUAACUUCGUGCCAGCAGCCGCGGUAAUAC
rnacentral:rRNA from 1 species